rnacentral:rRNA from 1 species
GACAGAGGGGGCAAGCGUUGUCCGGAAUUACUGGGCGUAAAGCGUGCGCAGGCGGUUUGCUAAGACAGGUGUGAAAUCCCCGGGCUUAACCUGGGAAUUGCGCUUGAAACUAGCGGGCUUGAGUGUGGCAGAGGGGGGUGGAAUUCCACGUGUAGCAGGUGAAAUGCGUAGAGAUGUGGAGGAACACCGAUGGCGAAGGCAGCCCCUGGGUCAACACGAUGACGCCUCGAUGCACGAAAGCG